AAAAGUACUUGCGGAUUUUGCU
rnacentral:miRNA from 2 species